rnacentral:rRNA from 1 species
UACGUAGGGGGCAAGCGUUGUCCGGAUUUAUUGGGCGUAAAGAGCGUGUAGGCGGCCUUACAGGUCAGCUGUGAAAACUCGAGGCUCAACCUCGAGACGUCGGUUGAAACCGUAAGGCUAGAGUCCGGAAGAGGAGAGUGGAAUUCCCGGUGUAACGGUGAAAUGCGCAGAUAUCGGGAAGAACACCCGUGGCGAAGGCGGCUCUCUGGGACGGUACUGACGCUGAGACGCGAAAGCGUGGGGAGCGAACAGG